GCCUGUUGCAGUGUUGCCGGUCUCUCGGGUGGUAAGGCCGAAUUUAGGAGCGGGCUAUCGAGCCAACUUUUGUAGCGAAUAUGGGCCAGAGGCUUACGACGAGUUUACGGCAAACCCAGUAGUUUAUGGUUUCCUUUUACUUUUCACUGAGAUAGUCUCCUCCCCCUUAAAAAAAAAAAAACUCCGUGUAUAGAUAGUCUCCUGUGCUACUGUGAAAAAACUACUACUCCGUGAGUAGUUUUUUACAGUAAUUUUUUCCAUUCUACACCAGGGUUUCAAGUGAUACAAAAAUGCAAUUAAUAGGGACAAUGUGGAAACACGGUACAGAUUGUGAAGUUGGUACUCCGUAGUACAAAAAUUAAGUAGAAAUUGCGCAGUAGAAAUCAGUGCAUAGACGCAAGCAAGAAUCGUGUAGUAUCUCACUGUAGUGUCUUGCAUGCGGCACACUCGAUCCAUGUACUGACUUGGUGAAACAUAUACCAUGAUACCAGAUUAUUACCAGGGGCACUGCAAAAUUGAAGAAAAACCACACGGGCGACGGAUCUUCGAUCUUAAAAUCACACACGUGCCAUCAAGCGUGCGUUCUUCCUUCACAUGUUUGGUAGCUUUCCAAUCUUCCAGUUCCAGUCACACCACGAACAAGAACAACACGGCUAAGUUACAAACCGGUUCGUCUCAACGAGGCAAGCUAAUAUAAACCAGUCAAAAGAUUAAAGGGCCGAACCGAAUAACAUGUCAAGGAUUCCUCAUUUCCUCUUGCUACUUUAUGAUCUCAAGGAGGC
rnacentral:lncRNA from 1 species